rnacentral:rRNA from 1 species
UACGUAGGGGGCAAGCGUUGUCCGGAUUUACUGGGCGUAAAGGGCGCGUAGGCGGCCACCGCAAGUCAGUUGUGAAAUCUCUGGGCUUAACCCAGAAAGGUCAACUGAUACUGCGGGGCUAGAGUGCAGAAGGGGCAACUGGAAUUCUCGGUGUAGCGGUGAAAUGCGUAGAUAUCGAGAGGAACACCUGCGGCGAAGGCGGCUACCUGGACCGGUUCUGACGCUGAUGCGC